AGGACGAACGCUGGCGGCGUGCUUAACACAUGCAAGUCGAGCGGAAAGGCCCUUCGGGGUACUCGAGCGGCGAACGGGUGAGUAACACGUGAGUAAUCUGCCCCUAGCUCUGGGAUAGCUCCGGGAAACCGGGAUUAAUACCGGAUACGACCACCUUAGACAUCUUUUGUGGUGGAAAGAAUUUCGGCUAGGGAUGAGCUCGCGGCCUAUCAGCUUGUUGGUGGGGUAACGGCCUACCAAGGCGACGACGGGUAGCCGGCCUGAGAGGGCGACCGGCCACACUGGGACUGAGACACGGCCCAGACUCCUACGGGAGGCAGCAGUGGGAAUAUUGCGCAAUGGGCGAAAGCCUGACGCAGCGACGCCGCGUGGGGGAUGAAGGCCUUCGGAGUGUAAACCCCUUUCGAUCCGGACGAAUGCCUCGCAAGAGGAGUGACGGUACGGAUAUAAGAAGCCCCGGCUAACUACGUGCCAGCAGCCGC
rnacentral:rRNA from 1 species